UUUUACGACAAUUUGUUUUUGAAAAAAAAAAUUAAAAAAAAUAAUUCCCCCAUUAUAAUAAAAAAUAAUGGGGGACAAAUGGGGGCUAAGUUGUGUUGCAAUUUUCCAUGUAAACACCCAACUUAUCAUAGGUAAUUUAAUUAAGAGGAAAUUAGUCCCAAUACCCUAAAAAAUUAACUAAAUUGAUUAAUACCCUAAUAACUAAUUAAAUCAAUAGAGAACGUAUUAAGUACGCAAUAAAAAUUCCCAAAUCACCCAUAUAUCUUUCAUCAGGUUCUUGCUGCAAAAAAAUAAUAGCCACCACACCGUAAUCAAAUUUUGCCUACUCUCAACCUCAUUUCUCCCCAUGAAUGGCCAGAAUGGUAUAUCCAAAUCUCAUUUCUUCAAUUUCAUCACUAUAACUGAUGCCUUCACUAUGGUUCCAAUGACCAAAUCUUUCAAAUUCUUCGAAGCUCUUUAGACGACGGAUGAUUUUCAUGCUAAUGUGGUUUUUAGAAGUGGCGAAGUGGGAAUGUUGUGAUGGUGGUGUUGAUGCUACUUAUGGUGGUGGUUUGGGGCUGCUACGGUUUUCAAUAGGGAUGGCGUCGGGGUGUAGUGGUGUUGAUGCUGCCUGUGGUGGUGGUAGUAGUGGUUUGGGGCUGCUAUGGUUUUCAACGGUGGUGGCAUCGAGGUGUGGUGGUGGUUUUGAUGCUCCUUGUGUUGGUGGUAGUGGUGGUUUCUUUGUUGGGGGUUUUAGGUGAUUUUUGUUUGUUGUGCAAUAAUUGUACUAGCUUGAGUAUAGCUGAAGAAGACAAGUUGAAGAAGAAAGGACCCAAUAUUUUGAAGGUCUUGAUGAGCAUAUAAUUUCUUUAUAAUUUCAUUUUUAGUGGAGAAAGUGGGGUCAAUGAGGAUAAAGAACGGUGAGGAACGGCUAACGUGUUUGGAGGAAGCGGUGGUUGGACUAAACCAACAAAAUGGUGUGGUCUUUCUUUCCCAGUAUUAGAUAUACCCAAGUGUGCAUGGAUGUGAGUAUCAAUUGUGAAGUGUGUGUGACUAGUGUAAAUGCAUGAAGCUUGACAUGGAUAAAUUAGAUGCCAAAUCGUGUUGAAUGAUUCGUUUUA
rnacentral:lncRNA from 1 species